ACUAAAAAAGGUUAGGCGCGACUGUCACUCCAUUUCAAAUCGAAAAUCUUUUCCUCCUCGCACUGGAAUUCACUCUCUCUCUCUCUGUCUCUCUCUAGAUUCGUGCUUUUCUCCGUUUCUCCUUUCCGCAAAGUGCGAAAGGAGGUACCAGUAGAGACAGAUUUAGGGAAUCAAAAGGAAAGCACUUAGAUUCUCUCUCUCUCUCUCUCUCUCUCUCUCUCUCUCUCUCUCUUCAAUGUCCUUACCUUCGAUUGGAGCCCCAGCUGUUGGUGGUGAUGCUGGCCAUGGCAACCCAUUGUCUUCGACUGCUACAUUUCUCUUUCAACGGUUCAAGAUGUCAGUGAUGCUAGCCACAAGAUUCUGCGUUCUUCCAGCAUUACCGUUGACAGAAUUUUUUAUUAUUGUUGGAAAUACAUGAAUUGAGAAAGGGAUUUUAUUUUGAGUAGGGGAUGAAGCCACUGGUCCGCAUAACAUACAAAAUGUUCGUUUCAUAUUAGACAACUCCAAGACUCCACCUAUCCUGAACUUUGUCUAGUUUGAACUGGAGUUCUGUGAUUUCUUUCUUUACCGUUCUUCAUGAUUCAUCUGUAUCUGUAUUUACCUGGAUGCUGGGAAUUCCCUGUAUAUUAAUUUUUGAAGAACUACCCUUCUUUUGCUA